rnacentral:tmRNA from 1 species
GGGGUCGACUGGUUUUGACAGCAAGUCGAAUUGAUAAGUAAGCACGUCGAGCAUUGAGACCUUGCUCGUAAAUAUAAGAUCUUACCAUUUUACACGGCGAAAAUAACUACGCUUUAGCUGCAUAAUCCGAAUUAUAGUACGAUUAAGCCACGUUCCUAUCAGAUAGGAAAGCUGGAUUCUCGUUGAAAGCCUUGGUUUGUGGCGUUCAGAUAAGGGGAACCGUAAAAAUAGACCUAGAUUUCCAUGAACUUCGGGUGGAUUCCAAAAUUAAGAAGAUAAGUAGCGUGUGGCUGUUUCUGGC